rnacentral:miRNA from 1 species
AUAAGCUCGAUAUUUAAAGUGGU